rnacentral:rRNA from 1 species
GGGGGGGGGGGGGGGGGGGGGGGGGGCGUGGGGGGCGGGGGGGGGGGGGGUGCGGUGGUGGGGUGCUCGGGGGGCGGACGGGUGGGUGACGCGUGGGUACCCUGCCCUUGACUUUGGGAUAACUUCCGGCAGCUGGGGCUAAUACCGGAUAGGAGCUCCUGCUGCAUGGUGGGGGUUGGAAAGUUUCGGCGGUUGGGGAUGGACUCGCGGCUUAUCAGCUUGUUGGUGGGGUAGUGGCUUACCAAGGCGUUGACGGGUCGCCGGCCUGAGAGGGUGACCGGCCACAUUGGGACUGAGAUACGGCCCAGACUCCUACGGGAGGCAGCAGUGGGGAAUAUUGCACAAUGGGCGGAAGCCUGAUGCAGCAACGCCGCGUGCGGGAUGACGGCCUUCGGGUUGUAAACCGCUUUCGCCUGUGACGAAGCGUGAGUGACGGUAAUGGGUAAAGAAGCACCGGCUAACUACGUG